GAUGAACGCUGGCGGCGUGCUUAACACAUGCAAGUCGAACGGGAAACCUUUUAUUGAAGCUUCGGUAGAUUUAGAUUGUUUCUAGUGGCGGACGGGUGAGUAACGCGUGGGUAACCUGCCUUAUACAGGGGGAUAACAGUCAGAAAUGACUGCUAAUACCGCAUAAGCGCACAGAGCUGCAUGGCUCGGUGUGAAAAACUCCGGUGGUAUAAGAUGGACCCGCGUUGGAUUAGCUAGUUGGUGAGGUAACGGCCCACCAAGGCGACGAUCCAUAGCCGGCCUGAGAGGGUGAACGGCCACAUUGGGACUGAGACACGGCCCAGACUCCUACGGGAGGCAGCAGUGGGGGAUAUUGCACAAUGGGGGAAACCCUGAUGCAGCGACGCCGCGUGAAGGAAGAAGUAUCUCGGUAUGUAAACUUCUAUCAGCAGGGAAGAAAAUGACGGUAC
rnacentral:rRNA from 1 species